rnacentral:rRNA from 1 species
CAGGGAUUGCCCUAGUAACGGCGAGUGAAGCGGCAACAGCUCAAAUUUGAAAUCUGGCUCUUUCAGGGUCCGAGUUGUAAUUUGUAGAGGGUGCUUUGGCGUCGAGCGCGGUCUAAGUUCCUUGGAACAGGACGUCACAGAGGGUGAGAAUCCCGUACGUGGUCGCCGAUCGACGCCGUGUAAAGCCCCUUCGACGAGUCGAGUUGUUUGGGAAUGCAGCUCUAAAUGGGAGGUAAAUUUCUUCUAAAGCUAAAUACCGGCCAGAGACCGAUAGCGCACAAGUAGAGUGAUCGAAAGAUGAAAAGCACUUUGGAAAGAGAGUCAAAAAGCACGUGAAAUUGUUGAAAGGGAAGCGCUUGCAGCCAGACUUGCCUGUAGUUGCUCACCCGGGCUCUUGCCCGGGGCACUCUUCUGCGGGCAGGCCAGCAUCAGUUUGGGCGGUCGGAUAAAGGCCUCUUACACGUACCUCUCUUCGGGGAGAACUUAUAGGGGAGGCGGCAUACGGCCAGCCCAGACUGAGGUCCGCGCAUCUGCUAGGAUGCUGGCGUAAUGGCUGUAAGCGGCCCGUCUUGAAACACGGACCAAGGAGUCUAACAUCUAUGCGAGUGUUUGGGUGUCAAGCCCGGACGCGCAAUGAAAGUGAACGGAGGUGGGAACUCUUCGGGGUGCACCAUCGACCGAUCCUGAUGUCUUCGGAUGGAUUUGAGUAAGAGCAUAGCUGUUGGGACCCGAAAGAUGGUGAACUAUGCUUGAAUAGGGUGAAGCCAGAGGAAACUCUGGUGGAAGCUCGCAGCGGUUCUGACGUGCAAAUCGAUCGUCAAAUUUGGGCAUAGGGGCGAAAGACUAAUCGAAC